CGACGAGCUCUACAUUUUAUACAUUAAGCUCAAAAAUGUCCGACCGUCUGUUCAAAAGUUACAUUAACAUAAUUCUAAAAACUAUAGUAACAUAUGUAUAUCUUUUUAAAGGUAACAGAUAUCAACCUUCUAUAAACUGGAAAGAUGAUCAGUAGUUCAAGACCUUCAAUUUGAGGUCAAUUUCAGGUCAUGAUGAAAUUUAAUCUUGACCUUCAGAGUGUACCAUGACCUUGACAUUGUGACAUUUGAAAGGUCAAGUGGUCCUGAGUUGAAUGGUGGUAGUCCCAUGUCUCUACGACUUCCGGUUCUCAAGUUUGAUAUUGCAUCAUAUAUUUGAUAAUUCAUUGUGACCUUGAUGAACUUUGGAAUUGUCCAAAUUUUUUUUUAAAAUGUUGUCCUUUUACUGCAGAGCAUUUUUCUUUUAACAGAUUUGAGAUAUCUGUUGUCAUUUAAGAGAUAAUGCAGUUUGAAAUUUUGCGAGCGGAGGCAUGUAUUUCUGAUUUAACAACAGUUUACCACCUGAAAUUUUCAGAAAUUAAAGAGUUCAUCAUGGUUAUAUGUUUGAUUAAAUACCAAAAACAUUCAAUGAAAAAAAACCCCAUAAAAUUAAAUUUAUAUUUUUUAUGUUUUGCAUUUACUUUGUAAGUUUCAUAAUUUCUAUUUAUACAAUUGAUAUUGCAUCAUUUUUGGCACUUUGCCAAAUGAGGUCAUUUGAUAUAUCAAAUUGAAGGUCUUAACGAGCUCUACUCAAAAAUGAAAAUGUUAAACCCCUUUUUUAUCCUAGGGGGAAGGGUGGGGUCAUUUAGUGCAAAAAAUUCAAACUUCUCAGAUGGUUAGGUUGUCGCAUAUCAAAUGAAAGUCCAUAAAGCGUACAUUUCAAAUAUCAAAUUGACGUCCCCAAAAAAUGGGUUGGGUGGGGUCAUUGAGUGCAAAAAAUAUAAUUUUCUUUUAAGGUAAGGUUGUUGUAUUUUAAAUGAAAGGUCGUAACGUGUACAUUUCAAAUAUCAGAUUCCUGUCCUCAAAAAAUAAGUUGGAUGGGGUUAUUAAGUGCAGAAAUCAAACUUUCUAGAACAUGGCGUUGUCGCAUAUCAAAUGAAAGAUAAUCAAGUCUAGAUUACAUAUAUCAUACUUCCGAUAUCAAAAAUGUAGGCGGAUGGGGUCAUUAAGUGUAAAAAGUGAAAAUUUUUAGAAGGUAUGCUUGUCGUAUAUCAAAUGAAAGGUCUUAAAGAGUACAUUACAAAAACAUCACUUUGCAGGAAAGACCUUUCAAUUGUUUUUCAAACAAUUGAGAUACUAGUUCUUUUUUUUUUUUUUCUUUUUUUUCUUCCAACAUUUUUUUAACAUGCCCUACCCCCGUUUCUGUUGAAGUUAUCAAGACCAAAUAUGGACCAUCGAUAGACCUCAUCAUGAAGUAUAACCAGAUGACCCUGUUAAGGAUUUCAUCAACCCCUUUAGAAGUUAUCUUCCUUUUAUUGGUUUUUUUCGACAUGGCCCCCCCUCGUUGUUUUUUAAGAUAACAUGUCUUUAUGUGGGCAAUAGGUAGAUCUCAUUAUGAUGUAUUACCAUAUGAGGCUGCGUAGAAUUUCAUCAUCCCUUUUGAGAGUUAUAUCCCUUUGAAGCAAUUUCUUUUAUUUGCAUUUUUUUUCAAAAGUGUUAGAGAUAGAAUCGAUUUGAAAAUGGCAGCAUGUACAAGAACAGAUGGCAAUGUUAAUAAACAUAAACAAUUAUUUUGAUAUUAACCUUUAUAAGGAGUUAUUCCCCUUUAAAAAUUAUACACAAUUUAAAAAAAAUUCUAUUUCGAGAACUGGAAGUCGUAGAAAGUUGGGAUCUUCACCAAUAAUCUUAAAUUCAUGUGACCUUUAAUUUGCACCCAAGGUCAAAGGUCACCGAGUGCGAAAAAAAAUUACGCUGCAAUUUCAAGCUUGCAUAUUAAGAAAACGAUAGGAGUUUGCUGCAUACAUACUGUGUAUAAAAUGUUCCUCUCGACAAGCUCUACAUUUUAUACAUUAAGCUCAAACAUGUCCGACCGUCUGUUCAAAAGUUACAUCAAGAUAAUUCUUAAAAGUAUAGUAUUGUGUGAAUAUAUUUUAAAUGGUAACAUAUAACAACCUACUAUAAACUGCAAAUAUGAUCAGUAAUUCAAGACCUUCAAUUUGAGGUCAAUGCCAGGUCAUGAUGAAAUUUUACCUUGACCUUUUAUGUGUACUAUGACCUUGACCUUGUGACAUUUGAAAGGUCAAGUGGUCCUGAGUUGAAUGGUGGUAGUCCUAUGUCUCUACGACUUCCGGUUCUCAAGUUUGAUAUUGCAUCAUAUAUUUGAUAAUUCAUUGUGACCUUGAUGAACUUCAGAAUUGUCCAAAAAAAUGUCUCAAAUGUUGUCCUUUUACUGCAGAUCAUUUUUCUUUUAACAGAUUUGAGAUAUCUGUUGUCGUUUAAGAGAUAAUGCAGUUUGAAAUUUUGCGAGCGGAGGCAUGUAUUUCUAAAUGAACAACAGUUUACCACCUGAAAUUUUCAGAAAUUAAAGAGUUCAACAUGGUUAUAUGUUUGAUCAAAUACC